CCUUCAGCACCCUUCCACCCUUUUCUCCCGCUCCACAUCCCUGAAACCUUACCAGCCAGCGUCAGCGACAAUGGUCAGUGCAGAGAGAUGAAGAGGGUAAAUACAUCACGUUUCAUUGCAAUUUUGGCUAUGCCAUCGAAAAAUUACGGGGGCUGAGAACUUCGAGGAAAAUAAUCUAGGGAGUGAAGAUGGUUAAUGAGUAAUCACAAAUUCUUAUCACCUAACGCACAAGUUGAUCAGAGCGGUCCAGCUGUCUUGGCAUAACCUAUUUCAUUCAUUUCCAUUAUGACCGCACAUUUACUGUGGGCUAUGUCGCAGCGGGAGGAUAUUUGAAAAGGGCAGAGGGAGGUAGGUUGCUAAGAGAGAGAGAGAUAGAGAGACUUGGCAGCACAUUAUUAUAAUGAUGGUGAGUGACUGAUCCACACUUGACGCUGGCGACUUAAUUUGGAACUACAAGCAAGGGCGAUUUUGUCGUUUCGUCUGCUUCUGGAGGGCAUCGGGACGAACCUACAAAUUGCCUGAACAACGCUCUGAGAGGCGCACAAAAGAAAGCCUGGGAGAAAAAGACGACUGGUGUAAAGGCGACUGUCAGAGACGGAAGCUUCCGCGGAGCACCAAACCACAGGUGUGACUGGAGAGAGAUUUCAGCCACUCUGAUCAACACAGAGAGGGAGCUGUCUCUACUGACGUCAGAACCGGACGACCUAAAAGAAACUUUCACAAAAGUUUCAAGAACGCUACCCUCAAACAAGCAAGGCUGAAGAUAUCAAGUCUUUGAAGUGGACUGAGUAUCAUGUCUUGAGAUUGGCCUCAGUUUGUUUUUAGAAUAUCAACCCUAAUGGUUGACGCGGCCAGGGUUUAAUGCUCCCAAUGCUGUUCAUUCAAGAACACAUUUCUGUCUUCGUAGAAGAUUAAAGUACUUGGUGGGAUUAAUUUUUGGUAAAGGAACUGAGGUAUAGAAUGGGGCUACAGGAUCUUACCCGAGGCUAAACCCUGAUAUAGCAACCCACUUCUUAUCUUUUUAGAUCAGUCAAAAAUAUAUAUAUAUAUUCCAGCCCAUUCCGCCCAGCUUUGAGAGGGAAAUGGACAAGAUGAUGUGGACUCAGCUGAGAAUGUGGAGUCUCAGUUCCGAUCUGGAUAUGGCUUUGAGAUCAGACAUUCCGGGAAUCAACGCGAGGGCUCUACUGGGAUAGAGCGCAUCCUGGUACUCACACAGCCAGCAGCAUUUUCUCUGUGAUUCUUUUCAUGGAAAAAUUCAAGCCCACACAAAUGCCUAAGGCAAGUGUACAGUAGGGCUGC
rnacentral:lncRNA from 1 species